rnacentral:rRNA from 1 species
UACGUAGGCAGCGAGCGUUGUUCGGAGUUACUGGGCGUAAAGCGUGCGUAGGCGGUGGUCCAAGUCUGGUGUGAAAUCUCCCGGCUUAACUGGGAGGGUGCGCCGGAAACUGGGCCGCCGGAGUACGGGAGAGGCAAGCGGAAUUCCAGGUGUAGCGGUGAAAUGCGUAGAUAUCUGGAGGAACACCGGUGGCGAAGGCGGCAUCCUGGACCGGUAUUGACGCUGAGGCGCGAAAGCUAGGGGAGCAAACGGG